UUUCUUGAGGAUUUGAUCCUGGUCCAGGAUGAAUGCUGGCGGCGUGGAUAAGGCAUGCAAGUCAAACGGUCGUUUGUGCUUCACUAUGUUCAGCACAAACUCCCUUAAUUCAAAAAUCAAAAAUCAAAAUGCAAAAUUAAGGUAUCGCUUCGCGAUGAUAUUAGAUAAUUUUGAACUUUUAAUUGUAAUUUUGACUUUUGCAUUUUACAUUUUGAAUUUGGGUGAGUGGUGAACGAUAGUGAAGCACGAGCGAUAGUGGCGAACGGGUUAGUAACACGUAGAUAACCUUCCCCGAGGACAGGCAUAGCCCGGAGAAAUCCGGGGUAAUUCCUGAUAAAAAUGAGGGGACGUAAGUCAUUCUCAUUUAAACUCGCAAGAGACCUCGGGAUGGGUCUGCGGCUUAUCAGCUAGUUGGUGGGGUAAUGGCCUACCAAGGCGAUGACGGGUAGGGGAUGUGAGAGCAUGUUCCCCAACACUAGCACUGCGACACGGGCUAGACUCCUACGGGAGGCAGCAGUNNNNNNNNNNNNNNNNNNNNNNNNNNNNNNNNNNNNNNNNNNNNNNNNNNNNNNNNNNNNNNNNNNUGCAAAUUCUGUGCCAGCAGCCGCGGUAAGACAGAACCCCCAAGCAUUAUCCGGAUUUAUUGGGCGUAAAGCGUCCGUAGGCGGUCAGGAAAGUCUUAAGUUAAACACCUUGGGCUUAACCUAAGGGAUGCUUGAGAUACUACUUGGCUUGAGGGCGUUAGGGGCUGAUGGAACGGUCGGUGUAGGGGUGAAAUCCGUUGAUAUCGACCGGAACACCAAAAGCGAAGGCAUUCAGCUGGGGCGACCCUGACGCUGAAGGACGAAAGCGUGGGGAGCAAAAAGGAUUAGAUACAAGCCAGUGCUUCGCACUGGCACGCGGAUACGCGCGGAUUAGCGACUGCUUCGCAGUCGUAACGCGGAUAUACGCGGAUAAGUGUUUCUUACACCGGUAACGGUGUAUUGUAACUCGGCCAUAUGCGGGAAACUCCUAUUGUUUAAGACUUAAUCUUGGACAAGGACAAUCCGCAGGAAACCCAAAAGGGGAUCCUCAGAGACUGUACGCCGAGCCCCCUGAAUUUAUCAAAGGGGUGAAGAUAUAGUCCGGCCUCAUAGGUAACUAUGAGAUUCCAGAAGAAAUUCUGGGGCGCAGUCCGAAUGUAAAAAUUUUUAAUUUUGAAUUGUAAUUUUGCAUUUUAAUUUUUGAAUUUUGCAUUCGGCUGUUACAAAGUAACAGACGCGACCCUUGUAGUCCACGCUGUAAACGAUGGACACUGGCUAUUCGAAGUGUCGACCCUUCGGGUGGCGAAGCUAACGCGUUAAGUGUCCCGCCUGGGAAGUACGACGGCAACGUUAAAACUCAAAGGAAUAGACGGGGACUCACACAAGCGGUGGACCAUGUGGCUUAAUUCGACAACAAGCGAGGAACCUUACCAGGGCUCGACAGGCUAGUGAAAGUCUUGAGAAAUCAGGAUGUACCCACAAGGACACUAGUCCAGGUGCUGCAUGGUUGUCGUCAGCUCGUGUCUUGAGAUGUACGCUUAAGUGCGGUAACGAGCGCAACCC
rnacentral:rRNA from 1 species